rnacentral:rRNA from 1 species
ACGCUCGACACCUACGGGAGGUAGCAGUCGGGAAUAUUGCGCAAUGGAGGAAACUCUGACGCAGUGACGCCGCGUGCAGGAAGAAGGUUUUCGGAUUGUAAACUGCUUUAGACAGGGAAGAAAAAAGACAGUACCUGUAGAAUAAGCUCCGGCUAACUACGUGCCAGCACGCCGCGGUAAUCUGAGGCGGGCGUGGCGAAGGC